CCUACGGGUGGCAGCAGUGGGGAAUAUUGGGCAAUGGGCGCAAGCCUGACCCAGCAACGCCGCGUGAAGGAAGAAGGCUUUCGGGUUGUAAACUUCUUUUAAGAGGGAAGAGCAGAAGACGGUACCUCUUGAAUAAGCCACGGCUACCUACGUGCCAGCAGCCGCGGUAAUACGUAGGUGGCAAGCGUUGUCCGGAUUUACUGGGGGUAAAGGGCGUGUAGCCGGGCUGACAAGUCAGAUGUUAAAUUCCGGGGCUCAACCCCGGACCUGCAUUUGAAACUGUUGGUCUUGAGUAUCGGAGAGGCAGGCUGAAUUCCUAGUGUAGCGGUGGAAUGCGUAGAUAUUAGGAGGAACAUCAGUGGCGAAGGCGACUUUCUGGAUUGUAACUGACGCUGAGGCACGAAAGUGUGGGGAGCAAACAGGAUUAGAUACCCUGGUAGUC
rnacentral:rRNA from 1 species